AAUUUAUCUUCGGGGAAGACGAAACGUGUUGAGUGCAAUGGCCUCUAUCGGUGGUAAAAAAUUGGGGCAACUUAGAGUUGUAGAUCUCAGAGCAGAGCUGGAGAAAAGAGGUUUGGACAAGUCUGGUCUCAAAGGGGCACUGGUCGAUCGACUUGAGAAGGUAAUAACUUUUAUUUCGUUUCUGAAAUUCACGUAUAUAAUUCGCUUCGCAGCAUGCCGCGGUUUCGUCGAAGCGAAAUUAUUACUUUUGGCACUACAAAAGCCGAUAAUACUCCAACUGCCUUGCUUUAAUGUACACCUUUAUGUUUUGUAGUCGUUGUUGGACGAUUCGUCAGAGUUAAACGAGUUCACAGAGGAAGGUAUCGAAGUGAAGAAUAUGGCGGAAUCGGAAGCGACACAAACGCCGAAUGGCAACGUGGACGG